rnacentral:rRNA from 1 species
GGGGAAUAUUGCGCAAUGGGUGGAAGCCUGACGCAGCGACGCCGCGUGGGGGAUGACGGCCUUCGGGUUGUAAACCUCUUUCAGCAGGGACGAAUUUGACGGUACCUGUAGAAGAAGCACCGGCCAACUACGUGCCAGCAGCCGCGGUAAUACGUAGGGUGCGAGCGUUGUCCGGAAUUAUUGGGCGUAAAGAGCUCGUAGGCGGUCUGUCGCGUCGAAUGUGAAAACCCGGGGCUCAACUCCGGGCUUGCAUUCGAUACGGGCAGGCUAGAGUUCGGUAGGGGAGUCUGGAAUUCCUGGUGUAGCGGUGAAAUGCGCAGAUAUCAGGAGGAACACCGGUGGCGAAGGCGGGACUCUGGGCCGAUACUGACGCUGAGGAGCGAAAGCGUGGGGAGCGAAC